UUACGCCAAGCUCAGAAGAAUUUAAGCAUAUAAGUAAGCGGAGGACAAGAAACUAAAUAGGAUUCCCCCAGUAAUGGCGAAUGAACAGGGAAGAGCUCAGCAUGGAAAUCGGGGUCUCCCGACCUUGAAUUGUAGUCUUGAGAUGUACUGCCAACGGAGGCGCAGAUGUAAGCCUCUUGGAAAAGAGCAUCAACGAGGGUGAGAGUCCCGUUUGUCAUCUGCAGUCCCCCGUGCACGGUGUACCUUCUAAGAGUCACGUUCCUCGGGAUUGGAGCGCAAAGUGGGUGGUAAAUUUCAUCUAAAGCUAAAUAUUGGUUCGAGACCGAUAGCAAACAAGUACCAUGAGGGAAAGGUGAAAAGGACUUUGAAAAGAGAGUUAAAAGUGCCUGAAAUUGCUGAAAGGGAAGCGAAUGGAACCAGUGUUCUUGAUGAGAUUGUCGCGUACUCUGGUGAUUGCUGGGUGCUCCACCGCAAGGGGGGCAUUUGGUUUUGAUCUAGCGGUGCGUGGUGUUUCUUGUCUUGUGUGUCACCGUCGGUGCACAAGCGAGUAAAACUCCGGAGAACUGGUAACUCGACCAUGGUUGAGUGAAUGUCUUUGGCAGUACUCAUUUGUGUAUCGAUCCCUGCGUGUCUGGUUGCAGUGUUUGAGUCGUCUGGAAGCUUCUGAAAGGACUUGUCCUCGAAGGACUUUCUAGGCACCUUGAGCAUCUCCCUGACACAAAGACGAUGACUAAAUGGUUCUAUUCGACCCGUCUUGAAACACGGACCAA
rnacentral:rRNA from 1 species